AUUAUUAGAUUGACAAAUAGUGUAAAUAAGUGUAAUGUAUAUGUGACACGUAGAGUUCUAAUGAGGAUUAAAAUAUUACAUGACCAUCAAGGCCUAGUUAGCUAAAUAGCCCAACAUCAUACAACAUAAGAAUCCAAUUUGAAUAAAGAAAACCCACCCAAAUAAUAAUUAAAAGAAGCGGAGUUGUAGCCAAACCUGUCCCACAAUAUAACCCCGUCCCUUGAAAUUAAACAUAAUUUUAUCAUUUUUUU
rnacentral:sRNA from 1 species